rnacentral:tRNA from 1 species
GGACGAUUAGCUCAGUUGGUUAGAGCGCUACAUUGACAUUGUAGAGGUCACUGGUUCGAAUCCAGUAUCGUCCA